rnacentral:tRNA from 1 species
ACAUUGGAGGUUCAGUGGUAGAAUUCUCACCUGCCAUGUGGCAGGCCUGGGUUCAUUUCCUGGCCAAUGUA